rnacentral:rRNA from 1 species
UUGAACGCUGGCGGCAGGCCUCACACAUGCAAGUCGCGCGGAUGAAGGGAGCUUGCUCCUGGAUUCAGCGGCGGACGGGUGAGUAAUGCCUAGGAAUCUGCCUGGUAGUGGGGGAUAACGUCCGGAAACGGGCGCUAAUACCGCAUACGUCCUGAGGGAGAAAGUGGGGGAUCUUCGGACCUCACGCUAUCAGAUGAGCCUAGGUCGGAUUAGCCAGUUGGUGGGGUAAAGGCCUACCAAGGCGACGAUCCGUAACUGGUCUGAGAGGAUGAUCAGUCACACUGGAACUGAGACACGGUCCAGACUCCUACGGGAGGCAGCAGUGGGGAAUAUUGGACAAUGGGCGAAAGCCUGAUCCAGCCAUGCCGCGUGUGUGAAGAAGGUCUUCGGAUUGUAAAGCACUUUAAGUUGGGAGGAAGGGCAGUAAGUUAAUACCUUGCUGUUUUGACGUUACCAACAGAAUAAGCACCGGCUAACUUCGUG